rnacentral:rRNA from 1 species
GAUGAACGCUGACAGAAUGCUUAACACAUGCAAGUCUUUGGCGAAGCUGUGCUUGCACUGCCUAGCCAAGGCGGACGGGUUAGUAACGCGUAAGGAACUUGCCCUGCAGUCAGGGAUAACAGACGGAAACGACUGAUAAGACCUGGUAAAGUCAGGCGGACUCAUUUCCAGCCUGAUGAAAAGAGAUGCUGCAGGAGAGCCUUGCGUCCUAUUAGCUUGUUGGUGGGGUAACGGCCCACCAAGGCGAUGAUAGGUAGCCGGCCUGAGAGGGUGGACGGCCACAAGGGGACUGGGAUCAGGCCCUUACUCCUUCGGGAGGCAGCCGUGGGGAAUAUUGGACAAUGGGGGCAAACCUGAUCCAGCAAUUCUGUGUGGAAGAUGAAGGUUUUCGGAUUGUAAAGCGCUUUCAGCAGGGAAGAAAAAAAUGACGGUACCUGCAGAAGAAGCGACGGCUAAAUACGUG